AGCAGUAGCCGCGGGAAAACGGAGGGUGCAAGCGUUAAUCGGAAUUACUGGGCGUAAAGCGCACGCAGGCGGUCUGUCAAGUCAGAUGUGAAAUCCCCGGGCUUAACCUGGGAACUGCAUUUGAAACUGGCAGGCUAGAGUCUUGUAGAGGGGGGUAGAAUUCCAGGUGUAGCGGUGAAAUGCGUAGAGAUCUGGAGGAAUACCGGUGGCGAAGGCGGCCCCCUGGACAAAGACUGACGCUCAGGUGCGAAAGCGUGGGGAGCAAACAGGAUUAGAUACCCCGGUAGUCCCUGUCUCUUAUAC
rnacentral:rRNA from 1 species